GACGAACGCUGGCGGCGUGCUUAACACAUGCAAGUCGAGCGGAAAGGCCCUUCGGGGUACUCGAGCGGCGAACGGGUGAGUAACACGUGAGUAAUCUGCCCUUGGCUUUGGGAUAACUACCGGAAACGGUGGCUAAUACCGGAUACGACAACCGUCUGCAUGGGCUGGUUGUGGAAAGUUUUUUCGGCCAGGGAUGUGCUCGCGGCCUAUCAGCUUGUUGGUGGGGUAAUGGCCUACCAAGGCUUCGACGGGUAGCCGGCCUGAGAGGGUGACCGGCCACACUGGGACUGAGACACGGCCCAGACUCCUACGGGAGGCAGCAGUGGGGAAUAUUGGACAAUGGGCGGAAGCCUGAUCCAGCAACGCCGCGUGAGGGAUGACGGCCUUCGGGUUGUAAACCUCUUUCAGUACCGACGAAGCGCCGAUGAUGGUGGUGACGGCAGGUACAGAAGAAGCACCGGCCAACUACGUG
rnacentral:rRNA from 1 species